AUUGAACGCUGGCGGCAGGCCUAACACAUGCAAGUCGAGCGAGCGGCGGACGUGUGGGUAAUGUCUGGGACACUGCCUGAGGGAGGGGGAUAACUACUGGACACGGUAGCUAAUACCGCAUACCAUCAGAUGUGCCCAGAUGGGAUUAGCUAGUAGGUGGGGUAACGGCGCACCUAGGCGACGAUCCCUAGCUGGUCUGAGAGGAUGACCAGCCACACUGGAACUGAGACACGGUCCAGACUCCUACGGGAGGCAGCAGUGGGGAAUAGUGCACAAUGGGCGCAAGCCUGAUGCAGCCAUGCCGCGUGUGUGAAGAAGGCCUUCGGGUUGUAAAGCACUUUCAGCGGGGAGGCGUUACUCGCAGAAGAAGCACCGGCUAACUCCGUGCCAGCAGCCGCGGUAAUUC
rnacentral:rRNA from 1 species